rnacentral:rRNA from 1 species
CCUACGGGGGGCUGCAGUGAGGAAUAUUGGUCAAUGGCCGGAAGGCUGAACCAGCCAAGCCGCGUGAAGGACGAAGGUGCCAAGCAUUGUAAACUUCUUUUGUCAAGGGACAAAAUCAGGCUCGAUCGCCUGACCGCGGGUACUUUAAGAAUAAGCAUCGGCUAACUCCGUGCCAGCAGCCGCGGUAAUCCGGAGGAUUCGACCGUUAUCCGGAUUUAUUUGGUUUAAAGGGUGGGUAGGGGGACUUUUAAGUCAGCGGUAAAAGUCCGGGGCGCAACCCCUGAGAGCCGUUGAGACUGGCUGUCUUGAGAUGUCGAGAGGUAGGCGGAAGGCGCAGUGUAGCGGUGAAAUGCUUAGAUAUUGCGCAGAACUCCGAUUGCGAAGGCAGCAUACCGGCGGCGAUCUGACGCUGAGGCACGAAAGCGUGGGUAUCGAACAGGAUUAGAUACCCCAGUAGUC